GUUUGCCCAUAAUCGCACCACCACCCGGUGCCAAGGGUCCACUGCCCGACGAUUUGCCUCUAAUCGCAAAUCCGCCCAGCGUCCACGCCUGGUGCCAACUCCUCGUGUUGGACCGCCUAGUGGUGAAAUUUGCCGCUGGGCGGUUCCUAGACUCUUCUUUCCUUCAGUUUUCUUCCUCUGUCCUGAGUCUAAGACCUUCAUCUUCAAC
rnacentral:lncRNA from 1 species